AGCGUGGCGGGGCUGGGGGUGUGUGAGGGGUGUGUCGGCCGCCAUGUUGAGUGUGGCGCUCGGAGGUCACGGGCUGCCCGCUCAUGGCCCGGGGAUCCCCCGGCACCGCCCUGCCCUCAGAGUCCACCGGGCUGCGCUUUGAACCGUGCACUCAUAUCGGACACGGUGCCAGGGUCAGGUUGCACGUUAGGAGGACUUUCCUCGCAGAAAGGGUGGUUGGACUGUGGGCUGCCCAGGGAGGCGGCGGAGUCACCUGCCUGGAGGGGGCACUUGGUGCCGCGGCCUGGUCGAGAAGUUGGUGUUCGGUCACAAGUUGAACUUGAUGAUCUCAGAGGUCCUUUCCAACCUAAUUGAUUCUGUGAUUCUGUGAAUCAACAAGACUGGAAGAGACCUUUAGGAUCAUCCAGUCCCAAGUGUUCAGCCAGCGCUGCCACUGUAACCCUUAAACCACAGCAACAAAUGCCAGAUGCAGACACCUCAACAUCUCCAGGGAUGGUGCCUCCACCACCUCCCUGGGCGGCCUGACCUCCCAGCCAAUGAAUAAAUUCUUUUCAAAUACCUGAUUUGAAUCUCCCCUCUCUCAGUUUACGACCUUACACUGUUCACUGUAUCCUCCCCUGUGACUCCCGUAUUUCCUGCUGGGGCGUGCUGGGUUUGUGGAGCACCACUGAGCACCCAGGCUUGCACAACUCUGAAAUAAAUCAUCCAUGUGUGUCUCGAGUGUGUCAGUCUUGGCUUGGUGCACACCAGGGAGCAAAUCUGAUUUCCUGGGCAGCUCCCCGAUGUCCUGAGGAGGCUCCUGGAAAGCUGCUGAUAUUUCAGGGAUCACAGCCCCAGGCCAGCCCUGCUGCAGUUUUUGCUCUGAAACCACUGCAUGGAACAACACAAAUUUGGUUGUGCAAUUUUGAGGCCACAGACCUGAGCGUGGCCUGUUCUUAAAGCCCUGUGGCAAAACACUCGUUAUGAGCCCAAAGUCCUCUCAAGUGUGUCAGGACCUUUUGUGAAUGAAGUUAAACAUCUCCAUCCUGCUCCCAGCUCAGGCUUACAAAGGGAAAACUUACUAUCUGCUUCAGCUGCUGCAUGGAAAAUGAAAACACAUCUCUGUCUGUCAGGGCUUGAGGGCACCACGAGAUGUCAGUGGCCCUGCCCAGCCUCACCUGGGACCUUCUCCAUGGGUUCAGGAGCCCCAUUUCAGCUCAGCCUGGGGGUUUGAGACCCUUCUGCACAGGGCUGCAAGGGCCCCUCAUCCCAGAUUCCAGCCCCUCUUCCCCAGAUCUGCCUUGCCACCAUGGACCUUGAUUCUUGAAAACGUUUAUUUCUGAAAACUGAAUGUUAUUAUUAGAAAACUGGAGACUGAAAGAGCCUAAUUGCACUUCAGUAAUUGUAAAUUUUGUCUCUGAGCAAAAAGAGAAGCUAAUAAAAGAUGGAAAGUCAAUUUGA